rnacentral:misc_RNA from 1 species
UUUCCGUAGGUGAACCUGCGGAAGGAUCAUUACAGAGUUCAUGCCCUCACGGGUAGAUCUCCCACCCUUGAAUAUUUAUACCUUAGUUGCUUUGGCAGGCCGUGGAAACACCAUGGACUCCGGCUUAUGCGUGCCUGCCAGAGGAAACAAACUCUGUUUUUAGUGAUGUCUGAGUACUAUAUAAUAGUUAAAACUUUCAACAACGGAUCUCUUGGUUCUG